rnacentral:rRNA from 1 species
AGCAGCCGCGGUAAUUCCAGCUCCAAUAGCGUAUAUUAAAGUUGUUGCAGUUAAAAAGCUCGUAGUUGAAUUUCGGGAUCAAUUUAUUGGUCGUGCUAUUGUACGUACUGUCAUUACUGGUUUCUCUCUUCUGACGAACCAUGAUGUCAUUAAUUUGGUGUCUUGGGAAAUCAGGACUGUUACUUUGAAAAAAU